GCUCAUUGCAGCCUUGAUCCUGCAGGCUCUAGUGAUCCUCUUGCCUCAACCUCCUGAGUAGCUGAGACUACAAGCAUGUGCCACCACAUCUGGAAAUCAGCCUCCAUGCUGUGGAAAGCCCAAGCCACAUGAAGAGGCCACAUGUUUGUGCUUUGGUCAACAGUCCCAGUGGGUUCCAAGUUUUCCCAGUCCAGGUGCCAGGCAAGAGAGUGAAGAAGACUCCAAAUGAUUCCAAGAGGUUCCAGACAUAGUGGAGCAGAGAUAAGUCAUCCUUGCUAUUCUCUGGCCAAAACCUUGACCCAAUGACCUAUUCCAUUUUUUGGCAAGAAAAGUCAUCACUUACUUCUGCUGCCCCAAACGUUUCAUUGUUCCUCAUUGCCUCAAGGAAAAAGUCAAUCAUCGCUAUCCUGAAGAGCACUGGUGCCCUAGUUUUUGUUGUUGCCAUUUCUCAUCUUCAAUAUUCUGCUGGUGAUAUGUAAAUAGUAUUUGUCAGGGUCCAGUUUAUUUUAGAAUGCCAAUCGCUGUACUUGGUAUUUCACAUAAAAUAUUGUAUUUAACCCUGAGGGCAAGGGAGAUAAUUAUUUACGUUGACAACAGAGUUAGAUUGAAUAAGGUAUGGAAAUCCUGUAGAGAUACACCUAUGAUGUGAUUCCAAGUCGAACUCAAAUCCAGACGCUUUACCCUUUACGCCCUCCUACUCCUCCAAGAUUCCUCUGAAGGACAACUUCAUUUCAGGCAUUAACAAAAAGCAUCUCACUGUAAUAUUGCAGAGUCCCUACAAUAAGCAUUUUACAGAUGAGAAAACUAAGGCACUACAACAUUAAGAACUUCGCAUAAAGGGACACAGACACUAAGUGGCGGAGUCCUGAUUCAAACCAUAUGUAUCUGAAUUCACGUUCUAUUCUUUUUCCACUCUACUAUAUAGCCUCUUUAUCUGGAAAACUACCCCCUUCAUUCUUCCCCAGUCAAAACUCUACCUAUUCUCCAAGUUACAGCUCCAAUACAACUUCUCUGAUCUUCCUCUGCACUUCAAUAGAACUUACCACACUUGGCUAAUGAGUAUUGCCUUGUACUGUGAUGACAUAAAAUAAAAAUAAAAAUGUGAUGCUGGGUGUAGUGGCUCACACCUGUAAUCCUAGCACUUUGGGAGGCCAAGGCAGGCGGAUGACCUGAGCUCAGGAGCUUGAGAAGCCUGGGCAACAUGGCAAAAUCCCAUCUCUACUAAAAGUCCAAAAAAUUAGCUGGGUAUGGUGGUGCACACCUGUAAUCACAGAUACUUGGGAGGCUGAGUCACGAGAAUUGCUUGAACCCAGGAGGUGGAGGUUACAGUGAGCUGAGAUCACACCACCACAGCACUCUAGCUUGGGCAACAGAGUGAGACUCUGUCUCAAAAAACAAGUAAACAAACAAACAAACAAAAGAUAUGAACAAUAAACUAUUAGAGAAUAUUGAAUAUUUGUACAUACACUACCUCAUUUGAUCCUAAAAUUUAUCCUUAUUAUUCCAGUUUUACAGAAGGGAUUGAAAUGACUUUCUCAGAAAUUACUCAUGCCGUCUGCUAUGUUGUCAAGUUUUGACUUGAACCUGUCUAAAAACAUAUAUAUUUUGCUUUGGCAAAAAUCUAGACUUAGAUAAUAAAAUACUAAGCUUAACUUGAAAUCUUCCAAUGGCAAGCUUCGAUAUAUCAGGCUUUAACAUACAUUUUCUUGUUGAAUCCUUCAUAUAGUUGUAGGAAGUAGUUCAUUUGCUUAUAACCUCACAGCUUUUUCUAUACUGUUGUUGAUUCCUUCAACAAAAAUGUAUUAAAUACCUGUUAUAUACUCAAUAUGGUACCAAAAAGGGUAAAUCUGCUUUAGAAUGUUUUAAUAAUUUCCCAUUUUUCUUAUGUUUAGAACCAAAAUUUCUAAUAUGAUGGGUUCCUUCCUACCUCUCCAGCCUAAACUUAUGCAGCAUUAGAAAUUGUCCCAAGCAUCCUAGCCACGAUGACCUUCUUGCAAUUCUCAGAAUUAUUAAAUUCUAUAUUGCAGAUGUAGGGGAAGAAUAACUUCCCAUCUGCCCUCUGAGGGAUCAAUAAUUAAGUCGAUGAAAUAAACUGACAACAGGCAGAGUAACAUGAGAAAAGGUAUACAAAUUUAUUAUAUGCAAGGAAACAUCACAUGAAAAAAAUCAAAUACUCAAAAACCCAGUGAGAUCUAGAAGCUUAGGUGCAAAUCUUCCUAGCGGAGUGUGAGGGGGAGAAGUAGGCAACUUAGAACAGAGUAAAUUAUUUUGUCAAGAUGAAUAGGCCCUCAGAAAAACACGUGAAAGCCUGUGACAAAGUCUGUCUGGGCAUAGUGUGGACCUCUAGCUUCCUCUCCUGUGAUACAAGCUGAUCUUCCCUGGUUGAUGAGAUUCCUGGGAAGAGAAUUUACACAGUUGAGUUCCUUUUGAAGGACCUAUCUUUAGGCAGACAGAAGAAGUUCAGAGAAAGCCUCUUCCUGCAUUUACCAUUCCCCAAGUAUGCUUAGUUUGAAGUAAUUUGCAUACCAAAACAAUAUAUCUUGGGUAGCAUUCCUGAACUCUUUCAUAGCAUACACUCCAUAGUGCUUUUUAAGUGCUGGGUGCUAUUCAUAAUAGUUUACAAAUAUUUACUAUUUUAAUUAUAACAACCACCUUUAGGGUGGGUACCAUUAAAGCCAAUUUAUAGAGGAGGAAACUGUGGCACAGAAAUUAAAUAGUUUGUAUAACGUCACACAGCUUAAAUAUUAUGCAUCAAGCUCUCUGGUCAAGCAUGCCCUGACCUCCUUUGAACUUGAUCUAUUCCCUGCCAGUAACAUACCUUUUUCUUCAGACUGCAGAUGAAGUUACUCUUCUCUGAAAAGGUUCUUCCAGUUUAUUAUUUUUUUUUUGUACAUACUCAUAUAAUUACAUUUGUUUUCACCUUUGCCCGGGAAAUGUGCAAUUCGUGGAGGGUAUGUGUUCACCUCCAUAUCCCUAGCAUGGUAUUUGCCACAUAGUAGGCACCCAACUAUGUGCUGAAUUAAUAAAUUUGGAUUGAUUAAAUAAGUGUAUCAGGUACCACAGUGCAUACUAUCAGGUAUAAUCCUUGUCCUCCAGGAGCUCUAAGCCUAAUGUCAAAUACAGACAAGGGAACACAUGAUUAUAACCUGACAUAAUAGCUGUAAUGAUUAAACACAAGUGACUGCAGAGCACAGAGGAAGGCAAUUCAUUCUGUCUGAUGAUCUGAAAGGCUUUCCAGAUUCUAUGACAUAUAGGGAAUGAGCAGAAUUUCUAAGGGAGAAAAGAGUUGGAUGGGGUGGUUUCCUGGGUAGAAGGAACCCCUUGUAAGGUACAGACAUAAAAGCAGAGGGUGAGAUAUGACAUAGAGAUAAAUUGUUUAUGGGUGAAUUGGAGAUGGCAUUGAGAGAAGUGGUGAAGAAUGAAGCUUAUUUUGAAGUUUAAGGUCAGUAUUAUGAAAGAUGACAUAGCCUGUGCUAAGAGUUAGAAUCUGGUUGUAUAGAGAGAAGGAAACGAUAAGUAGUAUAAUAAUUUUAAAAGUAUUUUCAAUGUGCUUUAGAAAGAUCAAUCAAACCACUAAAUGGACAAUUAUUCCUCUAUCUUUGAAUUUGGUUUUUGUAGUAUUAAUGCAAAUUUCAAAGGGUACUCCAAAUAGCCCAAUUUAAUAUGAGUCUUAGGACAUCAGGGCUAAAGAAGAUUGAGAAAUGAUUGAAAUGUUUCCUGGUAUCACAGUAAUUUGCAACAAAUCUCUGUAAUUUGCAUUACGAUACAUGCCAAGCUGCAGUAUGAGACAGCCACAGGUCAUCCCCAAGCCCUGAGUAUGCUGUAUCUGUUGCAUUUAUAUCUUCAUUUCAUGAAGUCUUUCAAAUGAUAUACCUAAGACCAAUUGAAUUCCUAAUCAUAAGAAUUCCUGUCUUUACUGAGUUGAUCACCUCAAUAUGUUUGUGAAGUCAGCUUUUUUUGUUGUUUUCAAUAAAACAAGAUUAGGCACAAACCAUUUUAAAAAUAAUAGAGGAUGCAAAUAGUUCAUGGACAAUGUUAAUGUUCAUUAACAAUAGAAUAUAAACCAAACUAAGUAGAUGUUGUGCAACAGUCUCCAGCUUUGUCCUACUACUGGCCAAGACAGCUUUAACAUUUCCCUCAGCUUGACUAAAUUUAAGUAAGCUUCUUUCUGACUUCAGUCCCUGCCCUCUCUUUGCUUAAAACAUUAACUUUAGAAACUUGCGAUUGUAAAUUCCUCCUCUGCCCAUUAGAGAUAUAAAUUUUCUACAACCUAGAAAUAUCUUUCUCAUCAAAUCAUCAAGAAAGAGUGGGCUCCUUUCUCCCAGUUUCUGAGGGACCGUAAUAGCCUAAUUUAGAUAAGUGACAAUCGGCUAACGCAAAUAGCCUAAUCAUUUUAACCAACCUCCCCCAUCCCAAUGUCCUCUUGUAGUUUUCCGUUAGCUCACGACAGCAUUUAAAUAUCUUCAGCAGAACUGUUCAAUCUCUCUCUUCUAUUGCAAUGGCUAUGAUAUAAAUACUAUGUCUUUAAAAGUAAUAUAACUUAGUUUUUCCCUACAGUUAAUUAUCAACAAAAUCACACAUCAGAAAAGCUUGCUUUAAAAACUUGCAGGUAGAUGCAACGUCUAAUACUAAAUAAUGAAAAAAGCAAGAUUCUUAAAACUCUGCAACCUACCUGGGUCAGUCGGUAGCAGCAGCAGCCUUUAUACUUAUUCAUUUUCAAACAUUUGUUGAAUCCCUUACUGUGUGUUAGUAUUGUUUUUAACAUUUGGGAUAUAUCAGUUAAUUAAACAGAUAAAGAUCCUUGCCCUCAAGGAUCUUACAUUUUAGAAGAGAAGAGCAGACGGAACAGAAAUGUGACAUAAAAAUAAAUUAUAGAUUAUGUUUUACAGUGAAAAGUUCUAUGAAAGAAAAAGGAAAUUAAAGCCAGGUUAAGGGAUGUUUUAAUGAAUUUUACUUGGAGUAAAAUAGGAAAGCUUUACAGGAUUUUUAAUAUGGAUGUGACAUGAUUUUACCCAAAGUUUUAAACAAAAUAGAUAAUUCUGGAUGCUGGGUAGAAAAUAAGCCAUAGGUGGAAAAGGUUAAAAGUAGGAGAUCAGAUGAAAGUUACUGCAGUUUAUCCAGGAAAGACUUUAGCACAAAUGUUAAUAAUAGGUCAGGCGGUAUGUAGUAAUAUGUUCUAGAUAUAUUAACAAUCAAGACAACAAAGUUUCCUAAAAGAGAGGAUGUGAGCUGUGGGAGAAAGGGAGAAAGAAUAAUUAAAAGCUUUUUCGCUUGAAGCAAGUAAUAUGCAGUUGCUAUCAAUUGAGAUGGAGAGGGUUGCAUUUGGAAUAGCAUUUGAGAAAAAGACUAAGAGUUAAGUUUGGGACGUGCAGAUUUUUACGAUUUGAAUGUAUUUCAAGAGUAGCUAUUGAUUUGGAAGUUGAAUAUAUGAUCUUGGAGUUAGGAAGAACUGGGUAGGAGAGAUAAAUUUGAGAGUCACUGACAUAUAAAUGCUAUUUUAAAACCACGAGGUAACACCAAGGGAGUGAGAGAAGAAAAGAUGAAGAAUGACUGAGGAAUGGUCCUUGGUCAUUCCAAGUUUCAGGAAUGAGGAGGAAGAGGGGAGAGGAAAGAGGAAAGUUAGGAGAAACACUAGGAAAGUGUGACAAUCUGCAAGUCAAAUGAAGAAAAUAUAUCAAAAAAGGUACAGUGAGCCUUUGGCUCAGAUAUUGCUGAUAGGUGAGUGGAAUGAUAAUUAAUAAUUGAUCAUUGGAUUUGGCAGUGCAGAGAUCAUUGAUGGCUGUUACCACAUUCGUCUUGGUGGAGUUGGAUAAAUACCUGGUUGGAGUAGAUUUAGGAGAGAAUGGGAAAAAGGAUUUAAAGGUAAGCAGUAUUGCUUAAAGCUGUCAAAAGAAGCAAAUAAUUGGAAUAAGUGUGCUGGCACUUGAGGAGGCAAGUUAAUUUUGUUUUGUUUUUAUAAUAUGGUAGAAAAAGUGAUAUGCUUGUAUGUUUUGGGGAAUGGUCCACUAAAGAGUGAAAAUUUGAGGAAAUAGAAGAGAAGGGAACAUUGUUACUGCAAUGUCCUGGAGGAUGCAAAAAGAAAUAGCAUCAAAUAUAAAAGGAGUGGGCAGUUAACUUUACAUAGGAGCAUGAAUAGUUCAUUUAUGUGAACAGGCAGGAUGACAGAGUAGGUGGCAACAGAUGCUGGAAGGUGGGUAGCUGUGCUGAUGAGAGUCUAAAAAAGUUCUCUUCAGAUUAAUUCAGCAUUUCAGUGAAGUAGGAAGCAAGGUCUUCAGCUAAAAGUGAGGUAGAGGGUUUGUGGAAGUAUAAGCAGAGAGGAAGAGCUAUGAAUUACUGUCUAAGAGAUGGGAAAGGGAAGAGAUUAUCACCUUCAUGACUAACCCUCAAUAAAAUUUUACUGUACUAAAUGUCAAGCUGUCAUAUCUUGGUUAACCUCUAUAGCAGUAGUGUGAGAUAAUUACUAUUAUUCCCAUUUCACAGGUGAGAAUACUGAGUCUCAGAGAAAAUAGACAACUGUCCCAAGUUACAUAGUUAAAAAACGAUGACAUUAAUAUUCAAUUUCACCCUAUAUGACUUCAAACAUGAUGCUUUUAAUUACUUUGCACUGCUUCUACAUGUUCCCUUGGGCAUACAAGUGUCUCAGAAGAAUUAAAAAAUAUAUAAAUUAUCUCUCUUUCUUGCACAUGAUAGAAUAUACUCACAUCACAUUUGGUUAUUAAAGUCAUUUAAUGAACAUUUCAUUCUAAAAAAAUAUGCUACAGAAAGAAAUACUGUAAGUUCAAACAGAAGUAACUGACUUCCUACCAUUACCUCUCUUGAUAUGUAAACCCACAUUCUAAUAUUUUAACAUUGCAUAUGUUAAGAGGUGGAGAAUAUUAUAGCAUUAAUUUCAAGGAUCCAUAUAUUAUACUUCCAGCAAUACAAUCUAAGGUUAUAUUUGAUGUUUAACAGCUGAUUACUAUAAGCUUUUCUUGCGUUUAAUAGUUGUAUUGAUUAUGGCUAUUUCCAGCAGCAAGUAACAGAAAAAUCCAAAUAAAUGUGGCAAUAAAAAGAAAGAUUUCACCUCCUUAUAUUAUGAGAAGGCUAGAAAUAGAUGCAGCUAGCUUUGAUUCAGCAUCUCCAAAAUAUUAGCUCCAUCUCUCUAAUUCUCUUAACUUUUUUUCCCUCAUGCUCACAGGAUUACUGCUGCAAUUCCAGGCAUUAUAACCAUUGAGACAUAAACAAAAAGGAAGAGAGAAAUGGUUGCCACCAUCAAUAGCUGUCUUAUUAAUUAAGAAAACAAAAGCUUUACCAAGAACCUCCUUCCUCAUAAACAUCUAUUCACAUUUCAUGAACCAGAAAUGGGUUGUGUAUCUACUAUAGCAGGGAGGGUGGCUGACAAAACAUGGCCAAGGAAGGAUUGGGAAUGGGUGUCGAGCUUAUCAACCAGAAUACCUGCUUCAGCAGUCAUUUUAAUAUUCUAGAUAUGAAAUUUUUACAUGAUCUUCUGCUGAGCCAAGGCCUCCCAUCUUCUCUAUAUAUAGCUUGAUGAUGAAAUUUAAAUUGUAAGGCUUUGAAUUCUUUCAUUAAAAAAAAAGUAUUGGAUUCUGGCCAGAAUUCUCAUUUAAUGAUAAGUUUGAGCCUUGAUUGAUUUUUCUCCUAUAGUGAGAUCCUUUCUAUCUUUCUAUUAAUAUCACAUGCAAAAAUAAUAAGUGCUUUUGUAUGUCUAUCAACAUCUUAAAACUCUGGUAGGAUCAUAGUCAUGUGCUAGUAAAAAGGAAACUGGAAUAGCAGACAAGGAUUGAGUAAGGAAUAUUGGAGUACAAUAGUAGCACAGUUGCAGAGAAAUCAAAAUAAAGAAAAUAAUGUAAUAUAUACAAUGUUAUCUCUUUUUUUAUUAUUUUUCCUCCAUCUACUUCAAAUUAGAUUGAAAAAAAAUUACAAAAAAACACAUUCAUACUUCAUAUGAAAGGUGAACAUAAAUGUGUUUUCACCUUUUGGUCGCUAUAUAGAUGUUGUUCUAUGUGUUAGGACUGUGGUGCAAAAACUAAGAUGGUAAUAAUUGUAACUAUAAGCUGAAACUUUUUUUUUUUUUUUUGAGAUGAAAUCUCACUCUUUCCCCCAGGCUGGGGUGCAGUGGUGCGAUCUCAGCUCACUACAACCUCGGCCUCCAAGGUUCAAGCAAUUCUCCUGCCUCAGCCUCCCAAGUAGCUGGGAUUACAGGCACCUACCACCAGGCCUGGCUAAUUUUUGUAUUUUUAGUAGAGAUGGGGUUUCACCAUAUUGGCCAGGCUGGUCUUGAAUUUCCGACCUCAGGUGAUCAGCCUGCCUCAGACUCCCAAAAUGCUUGGAUUACAGACAUGAGCCACUGCGCCCAGCCAAGUUGAAACUUUUUAAUGCUUAUUUUCAACCAGGUUCAUAGUUCUAAGUGCCUUAAAAAUAUUGGCCAUGCGCAAUGGCUCAUGCCUGUAAUCCUAGCACUUUGGGAGGCUGAGUGGGGUGGAUCACUUGAGGUCAGGAUGUCAAGGCCAGCCUGGCCAACACGGUGAAACCUUGUCUCUACAAAAAAUACAAAAAUUAGCCAGGUGGCAUGGUGCAUGUCUGUAAUCCCAGCUACUUGGGAGACUGAGGCAGGAGAAUCACUUGAACCUGAGAGGUGGAGAUUGAGUGAGCUGAGAUCGCACCACUGCACUCCAGCCUGGGUGACAGAGCGUGACUGUCUCAAAAAAAAAAAAAGUAUAAAGUAUUAACUAAGAGGUUUCAGACAAGUUGGUCAACUAGACACAGUCAGGAAAUGCCACUACCACUGAGAGAGACUACAUUAUCCAGUAAACCACCAAAACUCAGGCAGAUCUUCAAGAGAAAAUGCUGAGCGGAUGGACAGAUGACACUGAACCUGAGGCUGAAGAGGGAGGAAUCUGGGGAUCCUGCACGUGGUACCUGAAAUCCGGGUCUAGUUCCUGGCCACCAGUGGCUCCUGGGUAAGGGUUGAAUAAGGGAACUGAGGGCCAGCUUACUCUCACCAUGGACCUCUGGGAUCCUAGCUAUAGGGGACCAUGCUCAUGGACCUGUGAGCUGGCAGGGGUAUCUCCUUGGGGAGCAGGAAGAGACAGGCCUUCAGCCAGCAGAGAGCCCAGGAGAUUUUGUGUCCUAUGCAGCUCCAGCAGAGAGCUGCCAUCCCCAAGUGGCCCCUAUGCCCUUCUGGGAGGCACAGGCCACAUCUGACCUAGAAGCCAGGAGAGAGUCGGGACUGCAUCCCCACAAGACUGGGGCAUGUCUGCUCUGCAGGCCAUCCUGCCAGCUGGCCUCUCCUAGGGUCUAUGCUUAGCAGUCUGCAGGAGCAGGUGCACAGUGCAGCCCCUGAAGCUCAUCCUGAGGGCUGCAUCUGAGUACCUUAUCAGUGACCCAGGAACACAUUGGAUUCUUCAGCAUAACCAGAAUCACAACAGGAGCCUCAGGAUGUGUCCAUGCCCCAAGGCUGGAGUGUGCAGCUCUGGAGUACUGAGAUGAGAUCCGUGGCUGACACUGAAGCCAGGGAGGAGCCUCCAUCCCCAUAGUACUGAGAGAGGCAAGAUGCAUGAGUUACUGGCUUGGGGUGGGAGCUGGGUGUACCUCCCUCCGUAGGGCCAAUUUAGAGUGUGGUAUUCUUUCCAACCACAGCUUCUGCCCAAGGGAGCCCCAUGGCUGGGAACACCUAACAAAAGAAACACAGGUACAGAGCCAGCAAUUGGAGGGAUUUACCCUAAGGCCCAGUAGUGAACCUGGCAAGUGGACCAUCUCUCUGCCUCACCAACCACAGAGCAUACCUGUGAACCCAAGGAAGUGCAAAAGAGUAAUGGGCUGGAUAUUAACCUAGUUACAGGCCAUUAUUCUUAUGUACCAUCUACUGGAUCACAACCCUAACUAUAACAUCAAAACUUUGUCCCGCUAAUGUAUACACCUGUGAGAUAAAGUGCAAGAUUUCACUGAAACAUAAAGAUCCUGUACAGAGCCCUGGUCCUCUGAAAGCAAUCGGAAAUGAAGCCAAUGGACUAUGCUCAACUUAAACCACAGUUAAAGGAACACCAACUAUCCCAGAUGAGAAAUAAUCAGUGCAAGUAUUCUGGCAAUCCAAAAAGCCAGUUGUCCUCUUACCUCCAAAUGAGUACAUUAGCUCCCCAGCAAUGGUUCUUAAACAGUUGGAAAUAAUUAAAAUAAUAGGCAUAGAAUUCAGAAUCUGGGUGGCAAAGGAACUCAUCAAGAUUCAGGAGAAAGCUGAAACUCAAUCCAAGAAAUUUAGUAAAACAGUUCAAGAGCUGAAAGGCAAAAUAGCCAUCCUAAGAAAGAACCAAACUGAAUUUCUAGAGCUGAAAAACUCACUAAAAGAAUUUUAUAUACAAUGGAAAGUAUUAACAGCAGAAUAGACCAAGCUGAGGAAAGAAUCUCAGCACUCAAAGACUGGUUCUUUGAAUCAACUCAGUCAGACAAAAAUUAAAAGAAAAAAAAGAAUUUUAAUAAAUGAAAAAAAAUUCAAGAAAUACAGGACUAUAAAAAGAGAGGACAUAUACAUCCCAUUGGUAUCCAUGAAAGAGAAGGAGAGAGAAUAAGCAACUUGAAAAAUGUUUUUGAGGAUACUAUUCAUAAAAAUUUAUCUAAUCUCACUAAAGAGCUUGACAUGCAAAUCCAAGAAAUAAAGAAAACCCUCACUUCAUGCUGUACAAGAUGACCAUCCCCAGGGCACAUAGUCAUCAGAUUCUCCAAGGUCAGUGCAAAAGGAAAAAUCUUACAGUUAGCUAGACAGAGGGGUCAUGUGACAUACAGAGGGAACUUCAUCAGGCUAGCAACAGACCUCUCAGCAGAAACAUUACAAGCCAGAGAGACCAGGGUUCCAUUUCCAACAUCCUCAAAUAAAAUAAAUUCCAACCAAGAAUUCAUAUUCCUCCAAACUAAGCUUCAUAAGUGAGGGAGAAAUGAGGUCUUUCUCAGACAAGCAAAUGCUGAGGGAAUAUAUAUCAAUUAGACCAGCCUUAUAGGAAGUCCUUGGAGAAUGCUAAAGAUGGGAUCAAAAGAAUGAUAUCUGCUAUCACAAAAACAUACUUAAGCCCACAGCCCAGAGGCACUAUAAAGAAACUACACAGUCAAGUCUACAUAAAACUAGCUAACAACACAAUGACAGGAUUAAAAUCACACAUAUUAAUGCUAACAUUGAAUAUAAAUGGGCUAAAUGCCCUCACUUAAAAGACAAAGAGUGGCAGUCUGUAUAAAAAGACAAAAUUCAACCAUCUUUUGUCUUCAACACACCCAUCUCACAUGUAAUGACACACAUGGGCCCAAAUUUAAAUGAUGUAGAAAGAUCUACCGUACAAACAGAAAACAAAAAAGAGCAGUAGCCAUUAUUCUUAUAUCAGAUAAAAUCGACUUUAAACCAAUAAGAAUUAAGGAAGACAAUGAAAGAUAUUACAUAUUGAUAAGGGUACAAUCCAACAAGAAGCCUUAACUAUGCUAAAUAUAUAUGCACCCAACAUAGGAGCACCCAGAUUUACAAAACGAGUUCCUCUUGGCCCAUGAAAAGAUUUAGGCAACCACACAAUAAUAGUGGGAGACUUUAACAUCCCAUUCACAGCUUUAGACAGGUCAUCAAGACAGAAAACUGACAAAGAAACUCUGGACUAAGUCCAACAAUUGACAAGCUGGAACUAAUAGACAUCUACAGAACACUCCAUUCAACAACCAUAGAAUAUCCAUUCUUCUAAGUGCACAUGGAACAUAUUCUAAGAUUGACUACAUGUACAGUUUUAAAGCAAGCCUCAAUAAAUUCAAAAAAGUUGAAAUCAUACCAAGCACACUAUCAGACUAUGGUUGAAUAAAAAGAUUAAUGAAACCCAGAGUUGCUUUUCUGAAAAAAAUAAAAAUAAACAAGAUUUAGACCACUAGCCAGCUUAACAAAGAAAAAAAAGAGAAGAUCUAAAUAAGCACAAUCAGAAAUGACAAAGAUGACAUUACAGUUGAUCCCACAGAAAUGCAAAAGAUCUUCAGAGAAUACUGUGAACAACGCUGUGCACACAUAUUAGAAAAUCUAGAAGAAAUAAAUCGCUGGAAGCACACAAUCUCCCAAGAUUGAAUCAGAAAGGAUUAAAACCUUGAAUAGACCAAUAUCAAGCUCUGAAAUUGAAUAAGUAAUAGAAAACAUGCCAACCAGAAAAAGCCCUGGACCAAAUGAAUCCAUAGCCAAAUUCUACCAGAUGUACAAAGAACCGGUACCAAUUCUACAGAAACUAGUUCAAAAAAUCAAGGAGGAGGGACUCCUUCCUAAAUCAUUCCAUGAAGCCAGCAUCAGCUAGUACCAAAACCUGGCAGAUACACGACAAAGAAAGAAAACUUCAGAUCAAUAUCCCUAAUGAACAUAGACACAGAGUCCUCAACAAAAUACUAGCAAACUGAAUCUAGCAGCACAUCAAAAAGUUAAUUCGCCAUAAUCAAGUAAGCCUUAUUCCUCGGAUGCAAUGUUGGUUCAACAUAUGCAUAUCAAUAAGUGUGACUCACCACAUAAACAGAAUUAAAAGCAAAAACCAUAUGAUCAUCUCAAUAGACACAGAAAAGGCUUUUGAAAAAAUUCCACAUCCCUUCAGGAUUAAAACCCUCAAUAGACUAGCUGUCAAAAGAACAUACCUCAAUAUAAUAAGACCAUCUAUGACCAACCCACAGCAAACAUCAUAUUGAACAGGGAAAAGCUGGAACCAUUCCCUUGGGGAACUAGAACAAGGCAAGGACACCCACUCUCACCACUCUUAUUCAACAUAGUACUGGUAUUCCUAGCCAGAGCAAUCAGGCAAGAGAAAGAAAUAACAGGCAUCUAAAUGGGUAAGGAAGUCAAACUAUCUCUUUACUGACUAUAUAAUUUUAUACUUAAAAAACCCUAAAGACUCCAUCAAAAUGCUACUGGAACUGAUAAACGAUUAUAGCAAGGUUUCAGAUUACACAUCAAUGUACAAAAAUUAGUAGUAUUUUUAUACACCAAUAACAUCCAGUCUGAGAGUCAAAUAAAGAACACAGUCUCAUUUACAACACCCAUACAUAAAAAUUAAAUACCUAGGAAUACAUCUAACCAAGGAGAUGAAAGAUCUGUACAAGGAGAACUACAAAACACUGCUCAAAGGAAUCAGAGAUGACACAAAUAAAUUUCUUUAAAAAAAUCCCAUGCUUAUGGAUUGGAAGACUCCACAUCAUUAAAAUGGUCAUAAUACGCAAAGCAAUUUACAGGUUCAUGCCAUUUCUAUCAAAAUACCAAUGUCAUUCUUCACAGAAUUAGAAAAUCUAUGCUAAAAUGUAUAUUAAACCAAAGAAGAGCCCAAAUAGCCAAAGCAAUCCUUAAGCAAAAAGAAGAAAGUCAGAGGCAUCACAUUACCUGACUUCAAACUAUAUUAUAUGGCUAAAGUAACCAAAACAGCAUGGUACUGGUGCAAAAACAGACACACAGACCAAUAGAAUGCAGUAGAAAAUUUAGAAAUAAAGCCACACACCUACGACCAUCAAGUCUUCAACAAAGCUCACAAAAACAAGCUAUGGGGGAAGUCCUCUCUAUUUAAUAAAUGGUGCUGGGAUAACUGGCUAGUCAUAUGUAGAAGAAUGAAACUGGACCCUUUUUUGUUAUAUACAAAAAUUAAUUCAGGGUGGAUUAAAGAUUUAGAUGCAAGGCCUCAAACUAUAAAAAUCCUAGAAGAAAAUUUAGGAAAUAUACUUCUCAACAUCAGACUUAGCAGAUAAAUUUUGGCUAAGUCCCCAAAAGCAAUUUUAACAAAAACAAAAAUUGAUAGCUAUGACCUAAUUAAACUAAAGAAAGUAUUGUACAAAAGAAACCAUCAACAGAGUAAACAGACCUACAAAAUGGGAGGAAAUAUUCACAAACUAUGCAUCUGACAAAGGUCUAAUAUCGAGAAUCCAUAAGGAACUUAAAGAACAAAUAACCCCAUUAAAAAUGGGGAGAGGACAUAAACAGACAUUUCUCAAAAGAAGACAUACAAGUAGCCAAACAAACAUUUUUAAAAAAUGCUCGUCAUGACUAAUCAUCAGAGAAAUGCAAGUCAAAACUACAGUGAGGUAGCACCUCAUACCAGUCAGAAUGGCUAUUAUUAAAAAGCCAAAAAACAACAGAUGCUGGCAAGCUGAAGAGAAAAAGGAACACUCAUAUACUGUUGGUGGAAAUGUAAAUUAGUUCAGCCACCAUGGAAAGCGGUUUGAAGAUUUCUCAAGGAACUUAAAACAGAGCAACCAUUUGACCUAGCAACCGCCUUGUUGGGUAUAUACCCAAAGUAAUACAGAUCAUUAUAUCAAAAAUACACAUGCACUUCUAUGUUUAUCACCAUGCUAUUCACAAUAGCAAAGACAUGGAAUUAAUCUAGGUGCCCAUCAUAGGAGGAUUGGAUAAAGAAAACAUGGUAUACAUCCACCAUGGAAUACUAUGCAACCAUAAAAAAAAAUGAAAUCAUGUCACUUGCAGCAACAUGGAUGGAGCUGGAGGCCAUAAUCCUAAGUGAAUUAAUGUGGAAAGAGAAAAUCAAAUAUUGUGUGGGAGGUAAACAUUGAGCACACAUGGGCAUAAAUAUGGGAACAAAAGAUACUAUGGUCUACUAGAGGGGUGAAGGAGGAAGGGGGAAAUGGGUUGAAAUACUACCUAUUGGAUACUAUGCUUACUACUUGGGUCCAACACACCUGUGUAACAACCCUACACAUGUACUUGGUAUAUCUAAAAUAAAAACUAAAAAUUUAAAAAGUAUAUUAACUAACUCGAUCCUCAUAAUAAUCCACAAAAUGGAUGGGUGGCUAUCGCUCACCCAUCUCAUUUCACAGAUGGGGCACAGAAAUACUGAUUAAUUUUCUGAAGGUCACACAACCCAUAAGAGGCAAAAUUAUAAUUUAACCCCAGGAAGUCUAGCUUGAGUCCAUGUGCUAACCUCUACACUAAAUGCCAACACGGAGGUGGUGGUUUUGUUAUUCUGUUUUGGAUUGCUAUAAUAGAACACCACAAACUGGGUAAUUUAUAUUUUUAAAAGAAAUUUAUUUCUUACAUUUCUGGAUGCUGGAAAGUCUGUGAUCGAGGAGCCCACAUUGGGCAAGGGUCUUCACGCUGCAUCAUCCCACAGCCAAAUGCGUGAGGGCAAAAGAGUGAGAGAGAGCAAGAGAGGGUCUAACUCACUUUUAUAAGAAGCCCACUCUUGCAAUAACUUACUCCACCAAUAAUGACACUAAUCUAUUCAUAAGGGCAAACAUGACCUAAUCACUUUUUAUUAGGCCCUACCUCCCAAAACACUGUUGCAUUAGGGAUUUCAUUUCCAACCCAUGAAUUUUGGGGUACACAUUAAAACCAUGGCAGUGGUUUAAGCCAAGCACCAGAUAACCUUCAAACAAGUCUCAACACAUUUUGGCAAAAUAAUACAACAAAUAUCAAUGAAAACUUUAACUAAGGAGCAAUAACAAAAGACUACAUGGACAUUACAAUUUAUGAAAUGAGACUUAAAGAUGAAUUUAAUUUUACUAGGCAAGAAUCGUUUAAAGAUACAGGGACCUAGGAAGAAUAAACCUCAUGAUCAAUGGCAUAACAUUGAGAACUUCGGAAUGUCAGGUAAAAUUCAGCGUCCACCUUGUUCUGCAUGUUAAGGGAAUAGUAGGAGAUACACCUAUCCUGGCAAUCACACACACAGCAAUGACUGUGGGAUCAAAAAAUCCAAGUCUCAAUGCUGCUACUUAUGCACCAGAUGAACUUUGUCAAGGUCUUUAAUCUCUCUGGGUCUCAGAUGGGAAUGAAAAGUCCACCUAAUAUUUUAUUUGAAAGAUUAAGUGAGAGUGUAAGUGUUCAAAUUACUAUUAACUAAAGCUAGGCCUGAGUGAAAAAUAGGCUAGGACAUUAUUAUGGAGAGAUGUGAAUUUCAGGCUGAGGAGAUGCCAUUGAAGACCUCUGAGAAGGUAAAUAAAAGAGUAGCAUGGUUAGAAUUGUCUAAAGUUCAAUCCAGUGCUCAGUAUAGAAGGAGGUAUAGGAUAUACAGGAGUGUGAUAGGGCAGGGAUCAGGAGAAGACUGGGAAAUAUUAAAACUGGUUGAAAUAUAGUGAAGACCCAUAUUCUAGUUCUGGCAUUUGGACCUGAAAUAAAGACAGACAUUUCAGAAACACUACAGAAGCAGAUAAAAAUAAUUUCACAAUUAUUUUGGAUUUAAAAUGGAGGGAAAAAAAAACCAUCAGUGAUUCUGAGACCUCAAGCCUGAGUGACUUGGAGAAUAAUCAUGCCACCAUCAACAAAACAAAAUUUUGAGGAAGAAAAGCCCUUUUUGGGGAAAGGAUAAAUUGUAUUAUGAUUUUGAUCUGUAUAUAUUGAUUUUAAGGAAUCGAUAAGACACCCUGGUUGAAUUGUCCUGCAAUCAGUUAGUUAUAUGCAUUGGGAGCACAGGAAAGAGGAAGUGGCAAGAUAGAGGGUGUGGUAAAGAGAAUAAUGAACUUUUAGUGAUAUCACAUCCUAAUAUCAGACCAACAAAUAGAUUACAGAGCAAAACGGAAUUAAAGUUGGAGAUAUAAUUAAGGUGAAUAAUCAGUUGACCUUAAAAUAGGGAUAUUAUCCUGGAUAAUCUAGCUGGGCUCAGUAUCAUAAAAAAAAUUCUUAAUAAAAAAGGAGAAAGAUGAAGAGGAAUUUGCAGUGAAGUGAUGUGAAAAGGAUUUAACAAGCCCAUUCAGGCUUUGAGGAUGAGAAAAGGGGUCAAAAGACAAGGAACGUGGCUUUUCUAGAACUCAGAAAUGGUAAAGAAAGAGAUUACUUAUUAGACCCUCUCAGAAGGAAAUGCAAAUGCCAACAGCUUGAUUUUUAGCCCAGUGAAACUCAGGCAGACCUCUAAACUACAAAACUUUAAGAUAAUAAAUGUGUGUUGUUUAAGCCCCUAAAUCUGUGCUAAUGUGUUACAGCAGCAAACAUGAACUAAUAUAUAGUGAUUUUUGGAAUAUUCAGGAUGAAGAUAAUAAUCAGGAACAUUGUGAUUCCAAACACUUCCUGAAAGUGGCCUGUGAAACAAAACUGCAGCUUUUUGAGAAAGCAGGAGUUGUAAGUUGUAAGUCCUUAGAAUAAGUGUAGAGAUAUCUUGUUCCUGUACCAAGUUAUUCAGAACCUUGGGAGUAUACCAAUCAGUUCAUUUGCUGUGUAGAAUCUUAAUCUUGCAAAAAGGAAGUCAGCACGAAUUAUCUGAAUUUAUUCCAGGGUUCAUUUUUAUCUCCACUAUCAUCAUGCAUGAUUCAUUUCAGCACUGCAAGAUAAAGAAUUUCUGGUCAGGGAUAUUGACUCAUGCCUGUAAUCCCAGCACUUUGGGAGUCCAAGGUGGGCAGAUUGCUUGUGUCGAAGGAUUUAACACCAGCCUGGGUAAUAUGGUGAAACUUUGUCUCUACAAAAAAUAUAAAAAAUUAGCUAGGUGUGGUGGUGUGCACCUGUAGUCCCAGCUAUUCAGAAGGCUGAGGUGAGGGGAGACAGUAAGCAGAGAUCCAGCCUGGGUGACAGAGCAAGAUCCUGUCUCAAAAAAAGAAGAAGAAGAAGGAGAAGGGGAAGAGGAAGGGGAAGAAGAGAGAGGGGGAGGUGGAGGGGGAGGGGGAUUGUUGUUGUUAAAGUUUCUUGUCUUGAGGAGAGGAAUAAAUUGAUCAAACUUAGACAACUUAAGCCACCACUGAAAGAAUGGAAAUAGAAAAUUUAGAAAAUUUCAAGCUUCUCCUUUCCAGAAACUUGCAUUCUAUUUUCUGGAAAGAUCCAGCUAAUAUCUCACAGCAUUCAACAUGGGCUGCAUAACUUAUUUUGUGUCCUAGAGUGUCAGUCUUUGUUGCAGAGGAGAUGUGGAAUUGUUUGUGUUGAUUUAAAAAUAAAAACUAUAGCCGGCCAGUCACGGUGGCUCACGUCUAUAAUCCCAGCACUUUGGAAGGCCGAGGCGGGUGGAUCACAAGGUCAGGAGAUAGAGACCAUCAUGGCCAACAAGGUGAAACCCCGUCUCUACUAAAAACACAAAAAUUAGCUGGGUGUGGUGGUGCGCGCCUGUAAUCCCAGCUACUCAGGAGGCUGAGGCAGGAGAAUCACUUCAACCAGGGAGUUGGAGGUUGUGGUGAGUUGAGAUUGCACCACUGCACUCCAGCCUGGCAACAAAGCGAGACUCUGUCUCAAAAAAAAAAAAAAAAAAACACUAAAGCCAAAUUAAAAUUAAAUUUUAAAUAGUUUAAUUGAGCAAAGAACAAUUGAUGAAUCAUUCCUCUUUUUUACAGCCCAGAUAUUUUAUUUCCUACAGCACCAGCACAUAAAGCUGUGUCAGGAUAUCAGAUUUCUUUAAGAGGUAGUAAGAAAAAAUAUAUUUCAAAAUACUUAACUACACCCUUCCCAAGGUUAUAAGAAAAAGCACAAUACCAUUAAUUAACUUAUGAAAGUCACUUUAUUAGCAAAUCCCAGUUUUUAGCCUUAUUUUCCUUCAUUCUAGAAAAACAGCACAUUUCUCCUUUUCAAACCAACACAGAAGAAAUUUCUAUCCCAAUUUAGUUACUCUCCCACUCAUGCCAUCUCCAAUCUCCAGCUCCACUCGAGAGCAUGGGUGGAACCAAAUUUAGCCAAUACUUAUGCCAGGAAAUGUGGUAAGAGAGAGAGGGAAAUCCAAAGCUUCAGCAUAAUAGUCAAGAGUAGACUUUAGCAAACCAAGUUCUGCCACCUUUGAAGUGAAGAAUGAGGAUUCUUUUUGCUUCUACAAUGGGUAAAUACUGGACUAAACAUAAAACAAAUAAAAAUAGCUUUCACAUGACAAGUAUUAAUUCUUGGUGACUAUGCAAAUAGUUCCAGAAAAAAUAAUAUUUGGCAUAUAUGCCAUUGAUAUACUUACUCUUUUCCACAGUAGGAAUCAUAGUUUAUUUAUAUUAUGAGAGAUCUUCAAAAGUUAAUGGAAAAUGUAAUUAUGAAAAAAACCAUGCAUCGAUUUUAAGAAUUUUGCACCAAAAUAAACUCAUACUAACUUGUUGUGACAUGUCUGAAUGGGGUCUAAUUUGAGGCACUAAAAAGGAUAAGACAUUAGUUUGAAAAGAGCCCUUAUCAGAGCAACAUGAAUUUUACCAAAAUUGAAGCAAAAACAACAAAUUUAUGGUGAAGCUUGGGUGGAAGAAUGAUGAAGUCAUUGAUGCUUUACAAAAAGUUUAUGGGGACAUUGCCCAAAGAAAUCAGCAGUUUACAAAUGGAUAACUUGUUUUUUAAAGGAACAAGACAAUGCUGAAAAUAAAACCCUCAGUGGCAUACCAUCUAUAUCAAUUUUCAAGGAAAAAAUUAAUCUUAUUCAUGUCCUAAUUGAAAAGGACCAACAGUUAACAGCAGAAACAUUAGCCAACACCAUAAACAUCUCAACUGAUUCAGCUUACACAAUUCUGACUGAAACAUUUGAGCACACUUUCUACUCAAUGGGUGCCAAAACCCUUGCACCCAGAUCAGCUGUAGAUAAAAACAGAGAUUUCAAUGGAAAUUUAAACAAGUGGGAUCAAGAUCCCAAAGCAUUUCUUUGUAGUUGUAAAAGGAGAUGAAACAUGGCUUUACAAGUAUGAUCUUGAAGAUAAAUCACAAUCAAAGCAAUGGCUACCAAGAGGUGGAAGUGGUAAAAUCAAAGCAAAAGCAGACUCAUCAAGCGUAAAGGUCAUAGCACAGUUUUUUGGAAUGCUCAAAGCAUUUUCUUCAUUGACAUCCUGGAGAAUAAAAGAAUCAUAACAUCUGCUUAUUAUGAGAGUGUUUUGAGAGAGUUAGCCAAAACUUUAGCAGAAAAACACCUGGGAAAGCUUCAUUAGAAAGUCCUUCCCACCAUGACAAUGUUUCUGCUCAUUCUGCCUGUCAAACAAGGGCAAUUUUGCAAGUGUUUUAUGGGGCAUUAUUAGGCAUCCACCUAUAGUCCUGAUUUGGUUCGUUCUGACUUCUUUUUGUUUCCUAAUCUCAAAAAAAUUUUUAAAAGACAGACACUUUUCUUCAGUUAAUAAUGUAAAAAAGACUGUGUUGACAUGGUUAAAUUAUCAGGACCCCUAGUUCUUUAUGGAUGAACAAAAUGGCUGGUAUUACCACUUUUAAAAGUGUCUUAAAUUUGAUGGAGCUUAUAUUGAGAAAUAAAAAAUAAAAUUUAUAUUUAUUAUUUUUAUUUUUUAAUUCCAUUUUCCAUGAACUUUUCUUUUUUUUCUUUUCUUUUUUUUUUUCCUGAGGCUAAGUUUCACUCUCUCACCCAGGCUGGAGUACAGUGGCACGAUCUCAGCUCACUGCAACCACUGCCUCCUAGAUUCAAGCAAUUCUCUUGCCUUAGCCUCCUGACUAGCUGGGAUUAUAGAUGCCUGCCACCACACCCGGCUAAUUUUUUGUAUUUUUAGUAGAGAUGGGGUUUCAUCACAUUGGCCAGGUUGGUCUCGAACUCCUGACCUCAACUGAUCCACUUGCCUUGGCCUCCCAAAGGGCUAGGAUUAUAGGCAUGAGCCACUGCACCCAGCCUUCAUGAACUUUUUGAAGUUACCUUGUAAUAUUUGAAAAUCUUCCAGGGCCCUUCCAAUGCCAAAAACACACACCUUUUUCCCCUGACCCUCUGUCAGUCUUCUGAAUUUAAAGCUGGGCUCUGGGACUUACCAGUGUGAGAAUGUAUGUCCACUAAUGUUUAGAUAGAUAUUGGACAAAAAUUUUCAAAUUUACAUUUUUCACUUCUUGGGCGAUGUAAAUUCAUUGUCAACAACUGCAUUCUCACCUGACUUUAGAAGAGGGUAUAUCUCUCAAACCCUGUGGGUGAAGUAUUCAUUCAGAUGGAAACAGUAUGCUGACAAACUUCUCCUGAUGAGUUGUUUGUUUAUUUUCUGAAAUGAUGACAUUAAUUGGCCAAGAAGGAGAGCACAGUGUGCAGGAAACACACAGAGGGAGUUGAAAGGCUGCUUCCAACUGCUCACUGUCCUUAUUGGAAAUCCUCAUGAGCCUCAAUGAAGGGUAUAUCUACUUCAGAUUGCCCCUUUUUUCUCCUCUUUGGGCUAUGUGAUCUAUGAUUGCAAUUAGCUUGGACAUCAACAUUGUAAAUAUGUGACAGCUAAUGGUUGCGUGGUAUAAACACUUAUAAGAUAUGCUAAAACUGACAGCUUUAAUGUAAUCAACUCCAUGCAGCAGCCACCUUGUAGGGCUGUAGUUUUGAGUAUAGAACAUCUGGAGUUACACUUUAAUUGGUGGUUGUAAUUGUUGCACAGCUGUUUGUAACAGUUCUAGCUAUGUUAAUCACGACUGCAAUGAUGCUUAUCGGGAAGCAGCACUAGAGUCCAAUUCAUGAGUAUCAACAGUUGUUGAUUCAGAAAGUCACAUUGUGUAUUUCCUUACUUAGCAUCAUAUAAAAAGCACACAGAAAAGAAUAAAUGAAAUAAAAAGUUCCAAUUCAUCCAUCUGUAAGUGUGUUUGAGUUCAGAAACAUUAACAGAUUGUUUCCUGAAAUGUACAACCAACCCACUCAAAAUGAGGGCCCAUCAUUGUGUUGCCGGAGACUCUCUGUAGAAAUAUGGGAUAAAGUGUUGUUAACCUUCCAUUAAAAAAAUAGUAUCUACCAGAAUAUCCCUGAAGAACUGAAUGUGAUAUAUGACACAGAAAAUAAGCCACAAGUUUCAUGAAAAAGAUGAGAACCUCCAUGCUCUAAACUGGAAAGGGAGUAUUUGUUUUUUUCUUCACAUGCAUAAUGGAUUAUCAGUGUGAUAAAAGUGUUCAAAAAGUUCCACACCUAGCAUCAAGUCAGAAUUUCUACUCUGCUGCUACAAAUGUGGACAUCUUGAGCAAGUCAUUUUGUGUUCCUAAGUUUCAGUUUUCUCAUCAGUAGAAUGAAAGAAUAGGAUUCGAUUGUUUGUGAAAUCUCUUCCAUCUCUCAUAUCUUUUGUACAAACUUGACUGUUAAUUUUAAUUUUAUUUUUUUUACCAGGUCACCCAAGAGCUCUGAUCUGACUUUUUAAAAGCUACUUACUCUCCUGAAGUUUCUAGUUACCAAAUAGAAAGACACAAAAUUCAGAAAGCUAGGGCUCAACAAUAGGAGAAUAAUGAAGAGAACUUUCAGGAUAAUGGCUGUAAAACAGGUCCCAGAAAACACCUAGUUCAGGUGAGAGCCAGUAACAGGAGUUCACUAAGAAGGAGUCUCCCAGCAAACUAUCAACGAAUGCUUUGAAUAGAAGGAAAUUACUGAUAGGUACUGGAUAAAGCCAUUGAAACAUCUGGAUAGAAGAAAUGGUAAUUGAUGCCCUCAAAGAAAGCAAAUGGGGAAAAAAAUAGCAUAUGAAAUUUUAACCAAGAAAGGAAAUGGGUUUGUGGCAUGCUUUUUAGAUCAACAAUGAAAGUAAUAAGAUGGCCACUGAUUUUUGAUGGAACAAAAAAGCUGAAGGGUAACUGUUUUGAAAACAGAGGAAAGAGAAAUUUAGUGUGGAGGUAGGUAAAGGAGCUGAAUGUUUAUCCACUGUCUUCCAACUAGACUGUAAUUUCUGGACAAUGUCAAAGUGAUAAUGUCUAAAAUGGAUAAAUCAAGACAUUAAAGAGCAAGUACAUUAUUUAGAAGAUAAUAGCAGAAAAUACAAGAAGAAACAACAAAAGUAAACUAAUGAAAUAAAAAUAAAUUGGUUUAGGGGAGUACGGUUGUGGGGUGGGGUAGAUAAAUUUUUAUAAUUGAUUUGUCAUAAUUUUUUAUCUGUUAUAAGCCUUUUAAAAUGAUGUGUCUUUUUGACAUAUAUAUAUUAUUGACAUGUAUAUUUGACACAUUUAUAUGGUUUACCCUGAAAAGCAAUAUUUAGUCUGAAAGUAAAUAAAAACUUCACUCCUGCUUUUAGUGAUAAAUACAAGUCAGAGGCAUUAAGAGACUGAGCAUUAGUUAUGGAAUUUCACGUUUCUGGGAACAAAUAUUUGGAAACCUCAGGGUCCUCAGGGCUCUCUUAUUACACCUUCCCAUGAACAAGUCACAUUCCUCACCAUGAUUUUGUAUCCCUUCUGUUCUCAUUGUCAAAAAAAUCUUUCUUCCUCUCCUUGUGUGCCUACUAAAUUCUUUUUACAUUUAAAAAAACAUAAAAAAUAUUUAUAAAGCUUUUUGGAUUUAACCUUUCCUAUUUAGCACUUUUAAUAAUGUUGAUGUGGCAAUUUGAAAUUUGCAAAACCCUUUUCACUUCAUUUAUUCAUUUAUUACUUCAUUUAUUUUUCAUUUGGGCCAUUUAUUUGUUAGUGCAAUACAUUUCCUGAGUUUCUACUCUGGGUCAAUUACCUAGACAAGAACUGGUGUUAAAAGGCCAACAAAGGAGUUUUACUGGCCUCAUAGCAUUUCACAUUUUCAGGAGGAGGCAAUCAAACACAGAAAGUAUGCAGAUUAAGGAUAUUUGUGCUGUUUGUGGUUGUUUCUGUUUGUUUAUUUCAGUCUUAUGAUUGAGAUAAAAAAUGUGAUGCAUGGUUUCUGGCUUGUAUAUUAGAAUCUCACUGUUUCUGUAAUGAAUAUGUUUCAGCUCAAAAUAUAUAAUGAGACAAAAAUUCAUCCAUAACUUUAUGAUUGAUUAAUCUAAUUUCCUUAAGAAAAUGUAGCUCGAUUUAAUCUUCUUCUUUUCUCUUCUCGUCCUCCCUCCCCCUCUCAAGCAAUACGCCAACUAACCAACAGGCUGCCUUGCUGCCUCUGCUCUGACCCGCAGAAAUGGUCCAGGUUUUUCCUUUUAACAGGUCCCUCAGCUUCAGAUCUGUUGGAGUUUGCCGGAGUUCCACUCCAGAUCCUCAUUGCCUGGCUAUCACCAGCGGAGGCUGCAGAACAGCAAAUAUUGCUGCCUGAUCCUUCCUCUGGAAGCUUUGCCCCAGAGGGUCAGUCGCCUAUAUGAGGUGGAAACACAGAAGUGGAAUCUAGAGGCAGUAGGCCUUGGUGAGCACUUCUAUCAUCAUCUUAAGCAUAAUGAUGGUUGCUCUUCAUUUUCACUCACACCCUCUAACUUGUUCUCAUUUUAUGUGUGGCACCUAAGAGAGUGCUCCUAAUAUAUAAUUUUCUAAAAUGUAAUAACAUACUUCUCAUAAAAAUAUCAAAUGAACAUAUGUUAGUGAUAUUAUUUAACUUGUGAAUUAAUGAAGCAAUGUUAAAACUGGCUCACAUGAGAAUUUAAGGUGGUUAGCUAUUUACAGAAAAUUUAAUAAAGCAAUGCUAGAAUAAGAUUUCUGAAUGAGAUACAACACUAGUUAACAUCCAAUAGGUUAAUAAAACAUAACCUUUGUGGUUAUCUAUUCUUCUGGAAAGAAGUGAUUUGCAUCUCUAUCAGAAGUAAAUCUACAAGUGAAUUUCUGCCCCUUCCAAGCUGUUAAAGAACCCAGUCAAUAAAAAGUCAAUCAAGAGGGCAAACACAGAACUGCUUUGAGAGAACACCCAAUAAUCUCUUUUGUCAUUUCCAUGUUUUCAUAAUAUUUUGACAGUGCCUUGAAAAUAACGGACAUUUAUGAAAUAUAUGUGGAAUUGGAGAAGUAGAGACUGAGUGGAUCUGAAGUCCUUUAUACCGUGGUUUUGGGAUAUCACUAGUUAAAAACUUCUGAUUAAAGGCCAUAUGAAGCUGGGUGUGGUGGCACAUACCUCAGGAAGCUGAGGUGGGAGAAUCACUUGAGCUCAGGAGAACGAGGCUGGAGUGAGCUAUAACUGUGCCACUGCACUCCAGCCUGUGCAAGAGUGAGGCCCCAUCUCUAAAAACAUUAAAAAAAAAAACUAGAUAAAUAAAGGCCAUAUGAUUAUUCUCAAGCAGGCUCCACUAGACAAACAACAAGACCAAGAAGGUCAGGGCACUCAGAAGAGAUGUGUAACUGCUUUCUGAGCAAAGCUGGAUAAAUGGUACUGGGAAAAUAUAAAUAUUAUUGAUCCAUGAUAUCUUAAAAGUUUGAAAGAGAUAAAGGCAUUUUGCACAUUUCUGCAAUUAGAAUGUACUUUUGGCACAUAUCUUGAUGAGUAUACUGCUAUAUAUGAAGCCUCCUACAGAUGGGGGCUUCUUUUUAAGUUGCAUGUUGUGAGAGAUAAUUGAUUAAAAAUUCAAAUUUGAGCAUGGAUGGCCUCAAAAAUCGUGUUUCUAUGUAUUUAUUUUUAUUAUUUAUUCAUCUAUUUAUUUAUUUUUGAGACAGACUGUCACUCUGUCACCCAGGCUGGAGUGUAGUGGCAUGAUCUUGGCUCACUGCAACCUCCGCCUCCAAGGUUCAAGCAAUUCUCCUGCCUCAGCCUCCGAAGUAGCUGGACUACAGAUGUGCACCACCAUGCCUGGCUAAUUUUUGUAUUUUCUGAUAUUAUUAAUAGUAGAGAUGGAGUUUCACCAUUUUGCCCAGGCUGGUCUCAAACCCCUGAGCUCAAGUGAUCAGCCAACUUCAGCCUCCCAAAGUGCUAGGAUUAAAGGUGUGAGCCCAUCAUGCCCAGCCCUCAAUUUAUUUUAUGUUGGUGUCAUU
rnacentral:lncRNA from 1 species